UUUUUGCUGCUAGUUGUAGUUUUUGCAGACAAUAGGCAGACAGAAAAGAGGGCGAGGAGAAGGGGGAGGACAUGUGGCAAAGGUCGCCGGGACCGGGAGUCGAACCCGCAACGUCCGCAUCGAGGACUAAGG